GGGGAAUAUUGGACAAUGGGCGCAAGCCUGAUCCAGCAAUGCCGCGUGAGUGAUGAAGGCCUUAGGGUUGUAAAGCUCUUUCGCACGCGACGAUGAUGACGGUAGCGUGAGAAGAAGCCCCGGCUAACUUCGUGCCAGCAGCCGCGGUAAUACGAAGGGGGCUAGCGUUGUUCGGAAUUACUGGGCGUAAAGGGCGCGUAGGCGGCCUGUUUAGUCAGAAGUGAAAGCCCCGGGCUCAACCUGGGAAUAGCUUUUGAUACUGGCAGGCUUGAGUUCCGGAGAGGAUGGUGGAAUUCCCAGUGUAGAGGUGAAAUUCGUAGAUAUUGGGAAGAACACCGGUGGCGAAGGCGGCCAUCUGGACGGACACUGACGCUGAGGCGCGAAAGCGUGGGGAGCAAACA
rnacentral:rRNA from 1 species